rnacentral:rRNA from 1 species
UACGUAGGUGGCGAGCGUUAUCCGGAAUGAUUGGGUUUAAAGGGUGCGUAGGCGGACGCUUAAGUCAGCGGUAAAAUUGCGGGGCUCAACCUCGUCGAGCCGUUGAAACUGGGUGCCUUGAGUGGGCGAGAAGUACGCGGAAUGCGUGGUGUAGCGGUGAAAUGCAUAGAUAUCACGCAGAACUCCGAUUGCGAAGGCAGCGUACCGGCGCCCAACUGACGCUGAAGCACGAAGGCGUGGGUAUCGAACAGG